rnacentral:rRNA from 1 species
GACGAACGCUGGCGGCGUGCUUAACACAUGCAAGUCGAACGGAAAGGCCCUGCUUUUGUGGGGUGCUCGAGUGGCGAACGGGUGAGUAACACGUGAGUAACCUGCCCUUGACUUUGGGAUAACUUCAGGAAACUGGGGCUAAUACCGGAUAGGGGCUCCUGCUGCAUGGUGGGGGUUGGAAAGUUUCGGCGGUUGGGGAUGGACUCGCGGCUUAUCAGCUUGUGGGUGGGGUAGUGGCUUACCAAGGCUUUGACGGGUAGCCGGCCUGAGAGGGUGACCGGCCCCAUUGGGACUGAGAUACGGCCCAGUCUCCUACGGGGGACAGCAGUGGGGAAUAUUGCACAAUGGGCGGAAGCCUGAUGCAGCAACGCCGCGUGCGGGAUGACGGCCUUCGGGUUGUAAACCGCUUUCGCCUGUGACGAAGCGUGAGUGACGGUAAUGGGUAAAGAAGCACCGGCUAACUACGUG